rnacentral:rRNA from 1 species
AUACAGAGGCUGCGAGCGUUAAUCGGAAUUACUGGGCGUAAAGCGCGCGUAGGCGGCUUGGUCAGUCGGAUGUGAAAGCCCCGGGCUCAACCUGGGAAUGGCAUUCGAUACUGCCAGGCUAGAGUAUGGGAGAGGGAAGUGGAAUUUCCGGUGUAGCGGUGAAAUGCGUAGAUAUCGGAAGGAACACCAGUGGCGAAGGCGACUUCCUGGCCCAAUACUGACGCUGAGGUGCGAAAGCGUGGGGAGCGAACAGGAUUAGAAACCCUAGUAGUCC